rnacentral:rRNA from 1 species
CCUACGGGAGGCAGCAGUGGGGAAUAUUGCGCAAUGGGCGAAAGCCUGACGCAGCGACGCCGCGUGCGGGAUGAAGGUCUUCGGAUCGUAACCCUCUGUCAGCAGGGAAGAACGGUCACUGUGCUAAUCAGCAGUGCAUUGACGGUACCUGCAAAGGAAGCACCGGCUAACUCCGUGCCAGCAGCCGCGGUAAUACGGAGGGUGCGAGCGUUAAUCGGAAUUACUGGGCGUAAAGCGCUCGUAGGCGGUAUGUCAAGUCAAGGGUGAACUCCCCGCGCUCAACGUGGGAACUGCCUUUGAAACUGGCAAACUUGAGGGUGUGAGAGGAGAGUGGAAUUCCAGGUGUAGGAGUGAAAUCCGUAGAUAUCUGGAGGAACAUCAGUGGCGAAGGCGACUAUCUGGCACAUAACUGACGCUGAGGAGCGAAAGCGUGGGGAGCAAACAGGAUUAGAUACCCGGGUAGUC